GAAUCCAGGUCACCUUUUUAGUCAUGUUCCAUUCAAAAUCCAUUUGCAUUCAAAGUCAUUUUCAUAUCCAUUUCAAAAUAAUAUCAAAUCCAUUACAAUAGAUCAAAGUAAUUACAAAUCAUUCCAUACAAAAAAUACUAUUUUCUACCUAAGUUGACUUUUGAUCAACGGUUGAUUUUUUGGUCAACCAGUUGACCAAUGUCAAAUGACUAUUUUGCCCAUCCUAAACCCUAAUUCCUUUUCACUUUUCCACAAGUCAUCUUUUUGAAUCUUCAAGUAUCCAUUAGGUUAUAAUGUUGUAUUCACCAUGUUCUCAUGUUUCUUCAUGCUUAGGCCUUGUUCAAUUCAAAUCCCCACUUUUGCAUACCCUACAAAACAAGCCAAUGUACGAUGCUACAUCAAAUAUUCAUCAUAUAGAUUUUCACAAGCCAUAACAAUCAUUGAUAAAAAUUUCUCAUAGCAUAACAUCAAACAUCCUUAAACAUAUAUACAAACAACCCAUAGCAAUGCAUACAUGAGCAUAUUCCAUCAAUAACAUAACCAUCAUUCAAUCAGUAUCUAGACAUUCAAGCAUCACAAUCAUUAACAACCCAAGCAUUAACUCAUAACAAAAAUGCAUACUAACAUUCAUCCAAUUAGCAACUCACUAUUAACUAUCAAAAUAGACAUGGCAUAACUUCAAACCAACAUAGCAAUACCAAUUGCAAUGCAUAGCAGCCCAUGGAAAAACAUCUAGCAGCAGGAAUUUAAUUCAACAUAGCCAUAACACAUAACAGUCAUCACAAUUUCACAAAGCAACGCAUCAAACCAAGAAACUAACCAUCAUUUAGCAGCAAUCACAUUUCAAACAGCAGCCCUAUCCAUCAUCGAUGUUAACAUAACAUACCAAACAUAUCCAUGACAAUCAUACAUCAAAACAGUAGCAGCAAUGCAAAAUCAUGUAAUUCUUCACAACAGCAAAACUCAAUAGCUGACCAAAUUUUCCAUACAUGCUGCCAACAACUAAUAAUUCAUCCUAACCAACAUACUAACUGCAUCAGUUGAUAACAGAACUCAACUAACAUUCUAAUUGCAUUAACCAAAACUAACUUCCCAAUCUUAACUAACUUUCAAAUACCUAACAGAAAAUGGAACCUAAAUUCUACUUGCAUAACAUAAUUUCACUUAACUCCAACCAUAACAGAAUCUGUAACCAAUUCCAAUCAUUCCUAUAAAUAUCUUCCAAUCAUCUUCUCCUUGGACACAAAAAAAUUGAUCAUCAUUCUUCAUUGAUAACUCACCCUCGAAAUCCAUUCAUCAAAAUUCAUCAAAAAUCAAUUUCAUUUUUCACACUCCCUCAGUUCAUCAAAUUCAUAACCUCUGAAUCACUCUCAUUACCUCACUCAUCAAUUCAUCACCCUCUCAGAAUCAAUUUAAUCUCUCACUCCUCAAAUACACUCUCAAAUCUCGAAUUUCACCGUAACAUAAGCUCAACAGAAGCAGUUGUAGAAAAGGGAAUAAGGAGAAGCAAUCACUUACAAAAGCAAGAAGGGAUCAAAGAACAAGAACCUUACCGGAAUCUCACUAUUGUCUUCACCUUCUCUGGCAGCGUAAGCCUUCUUUUUCCCUUUUCACUUCAAUUCAGUUAUGAACAAGUGAGUUAAGGUAUAGGGAAUCAAAGCCCCAACCUCUUGGGCUUUGAUUCCCUGAGAUGAUAAUUUAUUUUAUCUUUUAUGUACCUAGGGUUCUUGCACGAUUUAGAUUCGGUUUAGGCUCUAGGGUUGGAAUGGAGGAAAAUUAAUAUCAGAUAUGAAUAUAGGAGCAUGAAACGAUUGUAGCGGUGAGUGAAUUUUGGACAUUGGCUCUCCGCCGCCACUGGAGGCGACCUCUGACGCGGCGGAGGAGAGGUAUCUCAGGUCAUAGUUUAGGAGGACAUGUUCAUUAUUCAGAGCGUGUUUUCAUCUUGUUCCAGUUAUAAUCAGAAGCUCUCUUCCCUCUCACAUGUACGCAUUGGGCCUUACUUUUUACCCC
rnacentral:lncRNA from 1 species